GGAAGAAUAUUUUCUGCUGUUCUGUAUCCCUUCGCUCAAAUUAACAAUGGCAUGAUUUUCGCCAAUACAAUAUGAUCAAAAUUUAAGAAUCCCUGUUUUUAUGUCGUCUUAUUUUAGCUUCGGUGUGAAGCUGAGAAGGGGCCACUGAGCCACUUACAAUACUUUAUCCAAAGACAAGAAAAGGUAUAAGUUCUGAGCGUUCACAGCAAAGUGGCUGAACAGAUUCUACAACCAUUGAUCCACACAAAACAUCAUAUGCACAUCUAUUUUGAUUAGCUGCAGCGGUAACAAAUGGCAAAGGAAAUAAAAAUGCAAAAAACAAAUUUUUAGUUAAAGAACGCAACACAGAUCUCUUCCAACCUAAAUCACCACCAGGUGUAAGAGCAAUAUUAUCUUGUGGUUGACCUCUUAUAUGACAUAUUUUUUCAGCACGUACAACUGAUAGAUCUAAUAACAUUUUUCCUAUUGUAGCACCUCCAUGGUAAGUACUUCCUCCUUGUAACCAAUACACCUGAAAA